GAUGAACGCUGGCGGCGUGCCUAAUACAUGCCAGUCGAGCGAACAGAUAAGGAGCUUGCUCCUUUGACGUUAGCGGCGGACGGGUGAGUAACACGUGGAUAACCUACCUAUAAGACUGGGAUAACUUCGGGAAACCGGAGCUAAUACCGGAUAACAUAUUGAACCGCAUGGUUCAAUAGUGAAAGGCGGCUUUGCUGUCACUUAUAGAUGGAUCCGCGCCGUAUUAGCUAGUUGGUAAGGUAACGGCUUACCAAGGCAACGAUACGUAGCCGACCUGAGAGGGUGAUCGGCCACACUGGAACUGAGACACGGUCCAGACUCCUACGGGAGGCAGCAGUAGGGAAUCUUCCGCAAUGGGCGAAAGCCUGACGGAGCAACGCCGCGUGAGUGAUGAAGGUCUUCGGAUCGUAAAACUCUGUUAUCAGGGAAGAACAAAUGUGUAAGUAACUGUGCACAUCUUGACGGUACAUGAUCAGAAAGCCACGGCUAACUACGUG
rnacentral:rRNA from 1 species